GAUGAACGCUGGCGGCGUGCUUAACACAUGCAAGUCGAACGGAAAGGCUCCUGCUUGCAGGGGUACUCGAGUGGCGAACGGGUGAGUAACACGUGGGUGAUCUGCCCUGCACUUCGGGAUAAGCCUGGGAAACUGGGUCUAAUACCGGAUAGGACGAUGGUUUGGAUGCCAUUGUGGAAAGUUUUUCGGUGUGGGAUGAGCUCGCGGCCUAUCAGCUUGUUGGUGGGGUAAUGGCCUACCAAGGCGUCGACGGGUAGCCGGCCUGAGAGGGUGUACGGCCACAUUGGGACUGAGAUACGGCCCAGACUCCUACGGGAGGCAGCAGUGGGGAAUAUUGCACAAUGGGCGCAAGCCUGAUGCAGCGACGCCGCGUGGGGGAUGACGGCCUUCGGGUUGUAAACUCCUUCCGCUAGGGACGAAGCGCAAGUGACGGUACCUGGAGAAGAAGCACCGGCUAACUACGU
rnacentral:rRNA from 1 species